UACGAAGGGGGGCUAGCGUUGUUCGGAAUUACUGGGCGUAAAGCGCACGUAGGCGGAUUGUUAAGUUAGGGGUGAAAUCCCAGGGCUCAACCCUGGAACUGCCUUUAAUACUGGCAAUCUCGAGUCCGAGAGAGGUGAGUGGAAUUCCGAGUGUAGAGGUGAAAUUCGUAGAUAUUCGGAGGAACACCAGUGGCGAAGGCGGCUCACUGGCUCGGUACUGACGCUGAGGUGCGAAAGCGUGGGGAGCAAACAGGG
rnacentral:rRNA from 1 species